AGGUGAUGUUUCUGCAACGUACAGUCUAAAAAAGUCAUCCAGUAUUUUGAAAGGAGAGAUUGCCUUCAUCAAGCAACUACAGAAAUGGUUGGGAGAGAAGUGUAAAUGGAAUCUUUGUUACAGAGCUUCCAGGGAUGGUUGGAGUGUCCAAGAUUUUCACAAACAUUGUGACAAUAAAGGACCGACAGUGGUUUUAGUGAAAGCCAAUGAUUGUAUUUUUGGAGGAUAUACUGACCAACACUGGGAUGG
rnacentral:lncRNA from 1 species